UAAGGUGUAGCUCAGUGGUAGAGCACAUGCUUUGCUUGCAAGAGGCCCUGGGUUUCAUCCCAGGACCACAG
rnacentral:tRNA from 1 species